CUGGCACUGUCCUCUGUCCCAGCCCCAGUCUCCUUCAUUGUGUCCUACUAUUACUGUCUGAUCUCACUGUCACUGUCUCCCUUGUGCUUCCUCUUACUGCAACUAUCUCCAUUCAUUCUUUCCCACUGCUGCUGUCCCUUCUCACUGUCACUAUCUCUCUCUUCCUCACUGUCAUUGUUGCAGACUCUGCUUCUAUCACUGGCUCUCACCCACUUCCACUUUCUCCUUCUUUUCCUUGCACUGUUUUCUCACUGUCGACUGCAUUCCACUGCCGCUGUGUCUCUCUCUUUCUUUCACACUGCUGUUGUCUCCUAUGCUCUUUUUAUACCACAACCACUGUCUACUAUUUUCUAGUAUUUAUUACUUUUCCAUCUCUUUCCCACUGCCACUGUCUCCUCCUCUCUCAGCACAAACACUGCCAAAUUUUUUGGGAAAUUCUUUAAAGGUGCUGAGGAAGGCAGAAUGGGGCACUGAGGAACACUUUCACCUUUUUUUUGCUCCAAAAGAAGCUUUUUUCCUGCUGUUAAAGGACAUCUUGAAACUCCAAAAAUGUUGAGAAGGAUGCAGGAUGUCUAUAUACCAUACCACUGUGCUGACAAAUGGAUUACCACAUAGAGCCACAAAUAGAGAGAUUUGUUUACAAGUUAAUAAGCUGUCAGAUGAUAGAUUGAAUACCCACUGGUGGUGAUCGACCCACUGGUAUACACUUAAUUUCUCUGUCAAUUUUAUUUGGAGUUCCUUGAAAAUUCAGUCACAGUUUAAACCUUCAUGAAUUUUCUGAGAGAUAAAAAACUUCACGAUAACAAUUCUAACAAACAAAUGAAUUUAAAAAUGACAGCAAACAUUAUAAACUACUCAAGUUUUAAAUGGUCAUUCUUCUGCCUCAUGGCAGAACAGGGAUACAGUGAGAACUGCAUUCUGAUGGUUAGGAUUGAGCCAGAAUAGGAAACCUCUUUCAGCAAAAUGACGUGGUCAGCUCCUGUGUCUGAGCACGUAGGCUUUGCUUCCUGCCCUUCCAUGUAAUCAGCAGUGACUCAAUUUUUUGACAUUCAAAGCUUACAGCAGUGUGGCACCACAUCCUGCCCAUUCAGUUUGAGCUUUAUAUGGACCAGCAGUUGCAUUUUCAUCAUCAUAAUUGACAUGUCUUGGUGCAGCCAUUUACCUCUUUACUGUUUGUGGCAGUUUCCCUUUUUAUCACCCUAAACAGACUAUAGCAAUGUCAAUAUCAUAUGCACACCAUUUUGUUCACUCAGAGCAGGGUGGUGUCAUCCAUGUGGUAAGAUUCACCAGAACUUCCUCCUUUGUCACCUUGAUCUGUUCUCUGGGUUCAGACUGACUGUAGUUCUGUGGAUGCUUUCAAUACAUGUGCUCUGUGUCGUUUAUCAUUGUGUAACAUCAUUGAAAUCUACCCUCCUCUAAAUGUCGUGUUUUGCUUAAUUCUAAUUUCAGAAUAUAUUAGUACUUCUGUUACUCCUUAUUUAUUUCUUAUUAGAGUUGUGAUAUCCUCUACCUUUCACUGUCCAAGAAAUCAGGGACCCACAGCAAGUAGGAAUGUUGCUGACACCUUACACAGUCAAAUAAUUGAUAGAUAAUCAAUUUAAAAUUCCAGUGACAUGGCAAAAUUUUCUGCACCUGUAAAGUGGGGCAAGCUCCUCUAAUUUUUGCUGUGUGAGACUGAAUGGACUGUGGAAGGGGCAGCACAUUGAGAUAGCCACAACCUGAAGUCAAAUUUGGUGGCUUCCAACCCCAUGAUGCUAAGGGUAAAUUGAUAUGUCACUGCAAAACAUUGGCAGAAUGUGUCUCCUUCCCAACGAGUUAAAAUUUCAUAGAGUGGCUGAGAUACUAGUUACAGCGCUCCUAGCGGCAACCAACGCUAACUCGGCUGCCAUGUUCUCCUUAGUCAAAACAUUAGGAAAGCGUUACUGUUGUUUGUGUUGGAAGUGUGUUAGCUGUUGUGAUAUUACUGCAAUAUUUAACUUUUCUAGUUGACUUUUUUGUUACAAAAUAUAAAGUCAACAUGCCUGCAGUGUGUUCAGCGUUCCACUACACAAAUCGCAGCGAUAAAACAACAAAUAUUUCAUAUAAUAAGUAAGUAUAUUAGUACCGAAAUAUGACACACGUUUUUUAUUGUUUAUUAAAGAGUCAUCUGCAUUGGAACUGUAAUUAUGCUUAAGACAAAUGCAGGAAGUAAUUUACUUAUCGUUGAUUACAGAUUUCCUUUAAAAGAUAAGGAAAUUACAAAAAGAUGGGUUAUAAAUAUGAAGCGAGAAAAAUGGUUUCCUACUACAGCCAGUUACCUCUGUUCAGCUCAUUUUGAAGAGAAAUAUAUGUACCACACAAAUGUCCAGAGGUGCCUUUUGUCAAAACCAGUACCUACUAUCUUUAACUUUCCACCACAUUUACAAAAGCAAGAUAAAGUAUUACGACCACAACCCAGAAAGCGAUCUUUCGACAAUUUGCAAGAUAGUGCUAUUACAGUGACAUCAUUAGCACAAAUGCCUGUCGGACCCACAUCUGUUUCUGCUGACCACAAUUACUGUCUACCAAGCCCUAAGAAGUUGAAAACACAAUAUAACAGAGUACAAGCAGAGAAUGUGCGACUAAAGAAGCGGAUAAAGCAAAUGAAGCAACUUAGUGUACGACACAAAAGAAGAAUAGUGCAGUUACAGACUUUAGUUGCUGGUUUGAGAAGAAGGCUAUGUAGUUCAGUUUCUGAUAUGUUUAACAGUGAACAUGUAGUUGGUUUGUUGAAGGAGCUAUUGGAACUUCAGUGCAGUGCUAAAGUAUGCCAUUAUUCUCAGCAAAUAAGGAAAUUUGCCCUGACCCUACACUUUUAUUCUGCCAAGGCAUACAGCUACUUACGAAAAUUUGUGAAAUUACCCCACCCAAGAACGCUUCGACUUUGUUAUUGAAUUACUAUGCUUGUGUUAACUACUUGUAACACAUAUUUCAAAUAAAUUCUCGUUCACAGUG